GCCAGAAUGGCCCAGCGGUUAAGGCGUUUGACUUAAGUUCCAAUAGACAUGUGUCUGCGUGGGUUCAAUCCCCACUUUUGGCA